rnacentral:rRNA from 1 species
ACUCCUACGGGAGGCAGCAGUGAGGAAUAUUGCGCAAUGGGGGAAACCCUGACGCAGCGACGCCGCGUGGAUGAUGAAGGCCUUAGGGUCGUAAAAUCCUGUCAGGUGGGAAGAAAUGCAUAUGUACUAAUACUACUUAUGUUUGACGGUACCACCAAAGGAAGCACCGGCUAACUCCGUGCCAGCAGCCGCGGUAAUACGGAGGGUGCAAACGUUGUUCGGAAUUACUGGGCGUAAAGCGCGCGUAGGCGGUUUGUUAAGUCAGAUGUGAAAGUCCAUAGCUCAACUAUGGAAGUGCAUUUGAAACUGGCAGACUUGAGUACUGGAGGGGGUGAUGGAAUUCCCGGUGUAGAGGUGAAAUUCGUAGAUAUCGGGAGGAAUACCGGUGGCGAAGGCGAUCACCUGGCCAGAUACUGACGCUGAGGUGCGAAAGCGUGGGGAGCAAACAGGAUUAGAUACCCCAGUAGUCC